GACGAACGCUGGCGGCGUGCUUAACACAUGCAAGCCGAGCGAGAGCCAGCUGAGGGGGUAACCCUCGGCUGGGGACAGCGGCGAACGGGUGCGUAACACGUGGGCAACCUGCCCCUGACACUGGGAGUAACCCCGGGAAACCCGGGAGCUAAUACCGGAUACUCUCGGCCGAUCACAUGGCUGGCCGAGGAAAGGUCCGCCGGU
rnacentral:rRNA from 1 species